rnacentral:lncRNA from 1 species
AUGCACUGGUACAGGUGCAUUGGUACAGGUGCAUGCACUGGUACAGAUGCACUGGUACAGAUGCACUGGUACAGAUGCACUGGUACAGGGGCACUGGUACAGAUGCACUGGUACAGAUGCACUGGUACAGAUGCACUGGUACAGGGGCACUGGUACAGACGCACUGGUACAGACGCACUGGUACAGACGCACUGGUACAGGUGCACUGGUACAGACGCACUGGUACAGGUGCACUGGUACAGGUGCAUUGGUACAGGUGCACUGUUACAGGUGCACUGGUACAGGUGCAUUGGUACAGGUGCAUGCACUGGUACAGAUGCACUGGUACAGAUGCACUGGUACAGGGGCACUGGUACAGAUGCACUGGUACAGACGCACUGGUACAGGUGCACUGGUACAGACGCACUGGUACAGGUGCACUGGUACAGGUGCAGUGGUACAGGUGCAGUGGUACAGGUGCACUGGUACAGGUGCAUUGGUACAGGUGCAGUGGUACAGGUGCAGUGGUACAGAUGCACUGGUACAGGUGCAUUGUUACAGGUGCACUGGUACAGGUGCAUUGGUACAGGUGCAUGCACUGGUACAGAUGCACUGGUACAGGUGCAUUGUUACAGGUGCACUGGUACAGGUGCAUUGGUACAGGUGCAUGCACUGGUACAGAUGCACUGGUACAGAUUCACUGGUACAGGGGCACUGGUACAGACGCACUGGUACAGGUGCACUGGUACAGAUGCACUGGUACAGGUGCACUGGUACAGAUGCACUGGUACAGAUGCACUGGUACAGGUGCACUGGUACAGAUGCACUGGUACAGAUGCACUGGUACAGGUGCACUGGUACAGGGGCACUGGUACAGACGCACUGGUACAGACGCACUGGUACAGACGCACUGGUACAGGUGCACUGGUACAGACGCACUGGUACAGGUGCACUGGUACAGAUGCACUGGUACAGGUGCACUGGUACAGGGGCACUGGUACAGGGGCACUGGUACAGAUGCACUGGUACAGACGCACUGGUACAGGUGCACUGGUACAGAUGCACUGGUACAGGUGCACUGGUACAGGGGCACUGGUACAGACGCACUGGUACAGACGCACUGGUACAGACGCACUGGUACAGGUGCACUGGUACAGAUGCACUGGUACAGGUGCACUGGUACAGGUGCACUGGUACAGACGCACUGGUACAGGUGCAGUGGUACAGGUGCACUGGUACAGGUGCACUGGUACAGAUGCACUGGUACAGACGCACUGGUACAGGUGCAGUGGUACAGGUGCACUGGUACAGGUGCACUGUUACAGGUGCACUGGUACAGAUGCACUGGUACAGGUGCACUGGUACAGGUGCACUGGUACAGACGCACUGGUACAGACGCACUGGUACAGGUGCACUGGUACAGGUGAACUGGUACAGAUGCACUGGUACAGAUGCACUGGUACAGGUGAACUGGUACAGAUGCACUGGUACAGAUGCACUGGUACAGGUGCACUGGUACAGGUGAACUGGUACAGAUGCACUGGUACAGAUGCACUGGUACAGAUGCACUGGUACAGACGCACUGGUACAGACGCACUGGUACAGAUGCACUGGUACAGACGCACUGGUACAGAUGCACUGGUACAGGUGCAUUUGUAUUGA